UACUUUGGUUAUCUGGCUGUAUGAGUAAGUAAGUGACAUCAUAAAGCUAGGUUACCAAAGCU
rnacentral:pre_miRNA from 1 species